ACUCAUAAGUAGGUUCACAUCGUGAUCUAAGUUCCAUUUCCCAUCGAGAGGUUAUGAUACUGGUAAAGAGUCCUAUUCUUCUCCUUGGGUUAUGAAAUAAUUCAAUAGCUCCGGGCUCCCUCACUGCAUUCCAAGGCAAGCUCCUACUAGAUCCUACUAUUCCUGAUAUUCCUACUGGAUUUGAGCAACUCGAGUAUGAACACUGUAUCGCUAUGCCCCUCGCUUAGCCCCGCUCUUUGGUUUAGGAUGGAUCCGGACUGGAAGCGAAAAUACCGUAAAAAUGGCUUCUUUCUUUGUCUCCGCUGGACUCUUUUGUAAUAGCUUGAUGAGCUGAACCAACAAGAGAUAUUACGUUCUACCUUCUGCUUCGAGCCCGGCCGAGAGUGAGCUUCCCGAUAGUCU
rnacentral:lncRNA from 1 species